GUAAUCUGGUGUGGGUCAGAUGCUCAUAUUAAAGUGGAUCUUAACUAAAUUGGAGGGGCGCUGUUCAUACGGAAAAGCAUGACUAGCAGUGCCACCUGGAUGGAAGCUUACCUCGGUCACAAGAAAAUUCUCAAAGCGCUUAUCGAAGGUGCAUAGCUGACGGUAUGGAAGCUAUACAAGAGUUCCGGUUCAUAACUUGACGGAGAGUUGGAACGUGAUUAGUGCGUGUCAGUGCCUUCUAAUUGUGUUUCGGUGAAAUUCAUAUUGUGGAAAAGUGUUUUAUUGAAAAAUAUAAUAUUUACGACGUCGUGUACCUAAUGAGAGCCGUAAUUAAAUACAGUGAGGCUAUAUAUAUUCCAAACUCAGCCCGGCGUAUGCAGUGUAGUAGAGUUAUGUCCUGGACUUCUUCCUGCAUGGUAUGUUUUUCCAGGUAAGAUACGAAUGAGAAAUGUUUAUGUAUAUUUAUAUGAACUGUAAUAUUGGUGCAGUGCUCGUAUGCGUUAUUUUAAAUAUAAAAUCAGCUCAAACUACCGACCUGAAAUAUAUAUGAAAUAUUUUUUUGAUAUUAGAUAUUUCAUGCAUUUCAGUAAUUGAAUGACAGCAAAUUGAAAUAACUUUGCAUCUUUGUAGGGAAGGAAUUGUCACAGAUGAAACUAUAUGAUUAUAUAUACAAUUAAAAUAGACUGGAUAUUCUGGUAUUGAACUCCUCUUUUCUUCCGUAGUGACUGAAUCAGAACAUCUGAAGCUCCCACGGUAAUAUUAAAAAUCCACCUACACGAGCUUGAAAUAGCUAUUAGUAAACGAUCAUUAUUUUGUGCUAGGUUAUAUUUAUCUUUUCAUAGACGUUUGGACAAGUAGUGGCAUAACGAAAGAAUUCUUUUUCUAUGCAGAGUGAAUUAUGACAGUUCAACCGGAUGAAUAUAAUUAGUCUAUAGAAUUUUAAAACAUAUUUUAUAUACGAGCUACUUAUGAUGUAUUGAACACAUACUGGGUGGCGCAAAUUUAUGACUUAUUUACGCUAAUAUGAAGGGCUUUACAGCCAUCAAUGCAACUCGUAUGAUUUGUGUAGAACAUGAAAUAAAAUAUUAUGAACUGG